UACGUAGGGGGCAAGCGUUGUCCGGAUUUAUUGGGCGUAAAGAGCGUGUAGGCGGCCAAACAGGUCAGCUGUGAAAACUCGAGGCUCAACCUCGAGACGUCGGUUGAAACCGUUUGGCUAGAGUCCGGAAGAGGAGAGUGGAAUUCCCGGUGUAGCGGUGAAAUGCGCAGAUAUCGGGAAGAACACGCGUGGCGAAGGCGGCUCUCUGGGACGGUACUGACGCUGAGACGCGAAAGCGUGGGGAGCGAACAGG
rnacentral:rRNA from 1 species